UGACCGUGCGAAGGUAGCAUAAUCAUUAGUCUUUUAAUUGAAGGCUUGUAUGAAUGAUUGAAUGAGAGGUAAGCUGUCUUUAUCAGUUAAAUUGAAUUUGACUUUUGAGUGAAAAGGCUCAAAUGAACUAAAGGGACGAUAAGACCCUAUAAAGUUUUACAUUAAUUUUUUGAAAUGUAAAUUAUAAGUUUAAAAUUAAUUAAAAAUGAAAUGUUUACGUUGGGGCGACAAAAAUAUAAUUAAUAUUAACUGUUUUAUUAAUAGAGCCAAAGGUGUUUGGGUGGGAGACUUUUUAUUAAAGUGGUAGAGUAAGUUACUUUAGGGAUAACAGCGUAAUUUUUUUUAAGAGUUCUUAUCGACAAAAAAGUUUGCGACCUCGAUGUUGAAUUAAAGAGUCUUUACAGUGCAGAAGCUGUAGGAGAAGGUCUGUUCGACUUUUAAAUCUUUACAUGAUUUGAGUUCAAACCGGA
rnacentral:rRNA from 1 species